GGCGCAGGCGGCCUGGUAAGUCGAAUGUGAAAUCUCCCGGCUUAACUGGGAGGGGUCAUUCGAUACUAUCGAGCUAGAGUGCAACAGGGGGAAGGUGGAAUUCCCGGUGUAGUGGUGAAAUGCGUAGAUAUCGGGAGGAACACCAGUGGCGAAGGCGGCCUUCUGGGUUGUUACUGACGCUUAAGCCCGAAAGCGUGGGGAGCAAACAGGAUCAGAUACCCUGGUAGUCCACGCUGUAAACUAUGGACACUGGGUAUGGGGAGUAUCGACCCUCUCCGUGCCGAAGUUAACGCGUUAAGUGUCCCGUCUGGGAACUACGGCCGCAAGGCUAAA
rnacentral:rRNA from 1 species